rnacentral:rRNA from 1 species
UACAGAGGGUGCAAGCGUUGUUCGGAAUUACUGGGCGUAAAGCGCGCGCAGGCGGGUUUGUAAGUCGGAAGUGAAAUUGCACUGCUCAACGGUGUAGCUGCUUCUGAUACUGCAAGCCUUGAGACCGGUAGAGGCUGGUGGAAUUGCAGGUGUAGCGGUGAAAUGCAUAGAUAUCACGCAGAACUCCGACUGCGAAGGCAGCUUACUAAGCUACAACUGACACUGAAGCACGAAAGCGUGGGGAUCAAAC